GCCGACCUCCAUGGCCACCGUUCUGCUGUCUUUAGUUACUAACGCCUUUUGUGGGGUCCGAUAUGCGUUGAUUUUGGCACUUUAACUUUACGACCGGUUCAUCCCGCAUCGCCAGUUCUGCUUACCAAAAAUGGCCCACUAAAGGCCUUUACUAUCUAUCCACUCGCUACGUAUGUGCAUAGCUUAAUGGAAAACACACACAUUAACAGUUUGAGAAUAGGUUGAGAACGUUUCGAACCCAACGACUCUAAUCAUUCGCUUUACCGCAUGUGACUAUCACAUUAUAGACCUCAGCUAUCCUUAGGGAAACUUCGAAAGGAACCAGCUACUAGAUGGUUCGAUUGGUCUUUCGCCCCUAUACAAAGCUCUGAUGAUCGAUUUGCACGUCAGAACCAUUGCGGACCUCCACCAGAGUUUCCCCUGGCUUCAUCCUUUCCAUGCAUAGUUCACCAUCUUUCGGGUUCCAGAGCACAAGCUACUAGUACGGCAGCGAGAGAGAGAGAUAAAUCAUUUUACUGAUUGCCGCCACUCUCUCUCGCUUAUAAUUGCCAUCUCCGAUUUGCCUAGACGCUCUCUAUCUUUAUAUAUGUAAACGUCUCAUCAUACAAACAUAUAUAUAUGUAUAAUAAUAUAUCUAUGUAUAUUAUUUGCUUUCGUUAAGUUUGACGGAUUCAAUAAUAUUGUGUUGAACCUUUGCGUCACGCUCAUUCGCUGGACUCCUUGGUCC
rnacentral:rRNA from 1 species